rnacentral:lncRNA from 1 species
GCUGUAACCUUAUUGAAAGAACUAUUAACUCAUAGGAAAGCUGCCGCCGCUGUAACCUUGUGAAUAUGGAGCGAUUCUCGUUUUUCUGAAACCUGCUUCAGUAAAACAUCGAUUUCUCAGUCGUUAACCGUCGGAUCGGGCUGAUUUUUGGACAUCAGGUUCGCAACACCUGGGUCUACGUUUUCACCGUUCGGAUCGUCGAAACAAGGUCUGAGUCAAGAGAAAACUGUCUCGCACUGAAGCAGUAUAUUUGGGGUUCCGGCAAUCAACACCCAGUGCAAUUGAGUUUCGGCGUUUGGGCUUUUCACGGCAUAGGAUUUUCACGACACAGUGCAGGUGAUCCUGAGUAGUCGGUGGUGGCUCAAGUGUCGUGUCUAAGGCUCUGAUACGUGGGAUGGGAAAUAUUCUUGUUAUUGUUUUCUUUCCUAUGUAUCUUAUUUUAGAACUUGAUGUUGUGGCCCUAUGAUGGAUGAAUUAUGUUGUUAAGGCUUUAUGCCAAGAUAUUGUUUUGGAGAAUUUAACCGUUGUUGUUGUUGCUAUUUAAAAUGCAAAUAUUCCGUUGCAUAAUUUUUGAAGUUAUGAAAGAUGUUGAAUUAAAUAGUUUCAUUUUCUAUUUAAAAAAUUUUAAAAUGUAG